UGUGCUAAGGUAGCAUAAUCAUUAGCCUUCUAAUUAAAGGCAAGUAUGAAAGAUUUAACAUUUAGAUAUCUUUUUUCCAAAAUAAUUUUUAACCUAAAUCAAAUAUAAAAAUGUAUUUAUGAAUCAAUUAGACGACAAGACCCUAUUGAACUUUACUCUAGUUAAGCUGGGGCAGCUAUUUAAUAAUCAUUUUAUUUUAAAAAAUAUAAUCCUGAUCCAAUAAAAUUGAAUUUAUGCAUCAAGUUACCAUAGGGAUAACAGCGUAAUAACUCUUUGAAGCUCUUAUUUAAAGAGAAGGUUGCGACCUCGAUGUUGAAUUAAUUUUUCUUAAGCGCAGUAGCUUUAAAAGUAGGUCUGUUCGACCUUAAAAAAAUUACAUGAUUUGAGUUCAAAUCGGUGUAAACCAGAUUGGUUUCUAUCUUUUUUAAAAUUUUUGUUAGUACGAAAGGGCCGCAAAAAUUAUUUUUAAU
rnacentral:rRNA from 1 species